GGAAAAUUAGUUAAUUGAUAACACUGGAAUGUCAAACCAGAGUAACCAGCAGGUAUCUUCCU
rnacentral:tRNA from 1 species